rnacentral:rRNA from 1 species
UACAGGGGGUGCAAACGUUGCUCGGAAUCAUUGGGCGUAAAGCGCACGUAGGCGGUUCGUUAUGUCGGAUGUGAAAGCCCUUGGCUUAACCGAGGAAGUGCAUCCGAAACUGGCGAGCUAGAGUACGAAAGAGGAUCGCGGAAUUCCCGGUGUAGAGGUGAAAUUCGUAGAUAUCGGGAGGAACACCGGUGGCGAAGGCGGCAUCCUGGACCGGCAUUGACGCUGAGUGAGCGAAAGCCAGGGGAGCAAACGGG